GAGGACCUUUUGUUGCUUAAAAAUCUCUCUGCCCAUCAUGCCUCACUGUCAGCCACCAUCUCUUUGGUCAUGAAUCUGCCUUUGUAAACACAGUGGCCUCUGAAGGAACCACCACCACUCAUCCCGGGUCCUGGGCGCUGUGCUCAUCUUCAAACUUCCAGCCUCAGAUCAAAGUCGCGGCAGAUAUGUUCUCUCAUCAAAAACGUUCAAAGACCAGAAGAGAAUACUCCAGAUUCGGUUCCUCCUAGACACCAACCCAGUCCGCAAACCUCAGUUGGUGAUGCUCAGGCUUCUUUUGCUGAUAUUUGUAAACGAAAUCCUAACCCUGGACAAAGCUGGGCACCGGUACAAGGAAGUCGCUGUCCCAUCAGGGCUUCCUCUGCGCCCGUGGGAAGCGGGUCGGAGCGCAGCUAUGGAACCAGCAAGCAAGGAAGGACCCUGGC
rnacentral:lncRNA from 1 species